UAGACAUCUAAGCACAGGGGGUACACAAACACUGGUUUCUCAAGUCUUUCAUUGGCAGGUUCCUUCUCUCUAGAAAGGAGUACCUACAAAACUUGGUGAUAGUGUAAGAUGACACUGUAAUAUCAUAUAACAUUUAAAGAAUGGAUUUGAAGUUAAGUAACUGUUGAGCUAAAUGUUGUGUUAGCUUGUUGACAAAAAGAUGUGGACUUUAGAUGUUUAAAAAAAUCUUGACUUUCUUCAUAUCAACUACAAUGACCUGCUCUAUUAAGGUGGUUAAUGAGUCUUCAUCUCUGGCAAUGUGCCAUGUAUGAAGAGAUGGAAAAACAAUCCCACACCCUGCCUCUCCAGUACAUUCCAUUUCAUAUGACUUUUAGUUUCCUUUGGGACUCUUCACCAUAUUCCAGAGAGAAUUUUCUUUAUUGUUUAGACAGUUUAAAACCUUCUCAGCAACAACAGUGAUGUGAUUACUUGAAUGGACACAACACUGGUCACUAACUGGUCCAGCUGGAAACUGCCAAGGCUCCAUAGACCCUUGAUCUGCUGUUUUCAAGGAUUUCCUCUUUCAGCAAACCAAGGUUCUGCAUGUUCUCUGGAGGGAUGCCCUUUGGCUCACCAACCUUCACUGCAAACAUGUGAAGGCAGAGCACCGUACCUUUGGAAAUGGCCACCUUAGCUAUCACUGACUUGCCCAGCUGUGCAGAAAACAAAGAAUAUAGAAAUCACAGGUAGAUUCAUAACAUGUAAAUAAUAAACAUUUGUCAUUCACAACUUGAUCCAUCUCACAAAUAAGGUAUUGCCAUGUUGCUAAAUCCUAUCUAUGGAAACGUUUAGUUUUUGCUUUUGUUUUUUUUGACAAAAUAAAAUUUAUAUACCAUACGUAUAUAAAUGGCACUGAAAGGGUUAGCACUAUUAUAGUAUGAAGAUAUUUGGUCUGAACAUCACUGUGUCCUUUUUCUGUGUUUGCAAGUUCCUGCAGUGAGUUUUCUUCCAAAGUGCAACAACAUACUUUAAUUAUUGAUUUUGAAUGACUGCGGAUGUUACGGUGCGUUGUUGUCUGUCUUUAUGUCUGUUAAUUGUGACGCACUGGGAACAUUUCCAGGCUGUAACCUGCCUCUUGCCCUGUGAUGGCUGGAAGAGACACAAGAACAUUGUGACAGAAAAUUCAAAAGGUACUUUAAAAAUUGAUGGAUGGACCCAACUUUAUAAUAAGUCUAAUUUCUGGCACAUAUACACUUAAAGGAAAAAGAUAAAUACAUUUGCAGCAUAACAGAAAAACAAAGAAAUGACUUGAAAAAAAAAUGAACUCAAAGAAUUUGUAUUAAGAGAAGUUCAUUAAGUUAAAAAGAAAAUGUGGUUGCAUAAAAGGGACCUGUAAUUUUCAAGUACACUUUAAUAAAGGCAGCAGACCAUCAAAGAUGAUGAAACCCUGACUUCCAGUCUCACUCUUCUUCCAAAAAUACUGGGCAAUACAUUCUAUGUGAGGAAUAUCAUUUAUGUCUUGCCUCUGUAUUUCAAAUUCAAUGCCACCAGUUUCUUAUCAGAGUUUUCAUGAAAAAAAAAAAUGCUAUAGCUGCCUCAUACUAUAAAAAGCUGAUUCCAAUGCUACAUGGGAAAAAAAAGUUUGUGUAACUAUGAUUCUUGUAAAAAAAAAAAAAUCUAUCACUAUCAAUCUAUCCUGAAUGACCAUUGUAUGACUGUAACGGUCAUACAAUACAGUGGUCACACAUAAUCACACAAUUUAACAUCUAAACAUAAACUCUGAGUGUAGUUACUCCUCAACAAAAA